AUUUUAAUGUUCACAAUAAGUUGAUUUUAAAAUUCCUUUUGUUUUCAGUAUCCUUCCUGCAACUCAAACAACAUCAAGCAAGCUUCAAUAUUCAAUGUAAACACGAGUUCAUCAGAUCAUCUUCAAUGGAAUUCCACCAUCAAAGGAGAUCUUUAUAAAGGGGGUGUGUUUCUUGGGUGCAUGUUCGGGCCUGCAGCUUUGUAUAUUUGGGGUAUAGGAAUCUUAGCAGCUGGUCAGAGCUCAACAAUGACGGGAACUUACUCUGGUCAAUUUGCCAUGGAGGUAUGAAUCUCAUUUUUUUUUUUUUAAUUGAUAGUUAUUUAGUUCUUACAUGCUUUGUGCUGUGUUGAAAGAAAAAAAGCGUACCAAGAAAACCACUUGUGUGCACGUCAGCGCGUCUCUGAUUGGUUAUUGUUACUUUUGUAUUUGAUUGGCUCUGCCAUUCUGAGUUGAAAAAUGGCCCAGUCUCUGUAGU